GAUGAACGCUGGCGGCGUGCCUAAUACAUGCAAGUCGAGCGAACGGAUAAGGAGCUUGCUCCUUUGAAGUUAGCGGCGGACGGGUGAGUAACACGUGGGUAACCUACCUAUAAGACUGGAAUAACUUCGGGAAGCCGGAGCUAAUGCCGGAUAACAUUUGGAACCGCAUGGUUCUAAAGUAAAAGAUGGUUUUGCUAUCACUUAUAGAUGGACCCGCGCCGUAUUAGCUAGUUGGUAAGGUAACGGCUCACCAAGGCCACGAUGCAUAGCCGACCUGAGAGGGUGAUCGGCCACACUGGGACUGAGACACGGCCCAG
rnacentral:rRNA from 1 species